ACGUAGGUGGCGAGCGUUAUUCGGAUUUAUUGGGCGUAAAGGGUUCGUAGGGGGCUAGUUAAGGCUGAGGUGAAAGCCCACGGCUCAACUGUGGAAUGGCCUUAGCGACUGACUGGCUAGAGGACCGGCGAGGAAAGUGGAAUUCCGGGUGUAGCGGUGGAAUGCGUAGAUAUCCGGAGGAACACCAACGGCGAAGGCAGCUUUCUGGACGGUUUCUGACCCUGAGGAACGAAAGCCGGGGGAGCAAACAG
rnacentral:rRNA from 1 species